UACGUAGGGGGGCAAGCGUUGUCCGGAAUCAUUGGGCGUAAAGAGCGUGUAGGCGGCCCGGUAAGUCCGCUGUGAAAGUCCAGGGCUCAACCCUGGGAUGCCGGUGGAUACUGUCGGGCUCGAGUCCGGAAGAGGAGUGUGGAAUUCCUGGUGUAGCGGUGAAAUGCGCAGAUAUCAGGAGGAACACCAAUGGCGAAGGCAGCUCGCUGGGACGUGACUGACGCUGAGACGCGAAAGCGUGGGGAGCAAACAGG
rnacentral:rRNA from 1 species